UGUUGCUUUUAAAUUGCUUGAGUAAUAUAUUGUUUGAAUAAUUUAGGUCCGUAAUUGCUUAGAUUAUUUAAACACAAAUAUAAUCGGUUGCAUAAUCUAAACUUGACCACGCGGUUGGCAAGGUUAGAGUUGGGUUCCUCUAAGUCCUAAUGCAGUUAACAGUUGUUCGAUGCUAAAAGCCCCAAGGACGUUCCUUGGCAACUUGUUAACUAGAGUUUGAGUAGCGAACGUUUCCUAAUCAAACUAAAACUAAGGAGGAAUUUGGAUUGUGAGAAGCGUCUUCCACGUCCUAAACUAACUUAUUGAAAUAAAUAAGAGUAUCAAAAAGAUCAAUGAUCAAUUCUAAACAAGCUGAAAUAGAUCCAUGCUUCAACUAGAAUCCUUCUCCCAUUGAAAUUCUCAUCUUUUUAAAUUAUUGUUUUUUCUUGCUAUUUAAUAUUAAUUCAUCAAAUCAAACCCCCCUCUUUUAAUUACUUGGUAUUUACUUAUCCAAGUCAUUAAUAGGAAAAUUCGUAGUGUCAAAUCCCUGUGGUUCGACUCUAUUGCCACUAUCUACAAGUUAAUUGUUGAUUGUUUAAUAGGUUUAUUUUUUACGGCUUCGACAACCGUUAUCAAAAAUUGGCACCGUUGCCGGGGAUUUGAUCUAACUAACGUAUUUUCCUUUUAUGACCAGGGCUGAUCGUAAAUAAGCUCUUCUUUACGAUCUAGAAAUUGAACGCACUGCCAAGACCUUACAAGCAUGGCUACGGCUCUCUUCUCAAAUUUCUGAACUAACCUCUAUUGUGAGGAAUUAUGGUAUAGGUCAAGCUCAACAAGUUCAACAACUUCAGCGAAACAGACCAUGUGAGAUUUGCACAUAUGUAGGACACCCAACUGAUCGAUGUCCUACACUUUAUGUGGAUUACCAGCAAGUCAUGCCUUUGGAAGAUUCAAUAGCCAGCCAAGACAUGAUCCCUACCUUAAUACCUACAAUCCAUGUUGGAGGGACCACCCGAAUUAUGACUAUGCAAGGGCUAACUACUACCAAAACUAUCAAGCCCAAGCAACACCUCAAAACUCCAAUAUGGAACUUGAAGAGAUGGUGAGGAAAUUGGAAAUUUCUGGGAAAAUUCUCCAACAGCAAGUGGAUCAAGCGGUCAACUCAGUGAACGCGCACAUAUUAAGAAGAGAGGAAGAGCUUCAAGAUCUAUGGGACGAUGACGAAGGUUCCCAAGAAACAGACCGAGCUAUUGAGUCUGCUGCACAAAUCACCACUACACUUGAAGCUGAACCAGCUACGGCCCAAACAACACUUGUUGAAGCUUCUGCCUCCCAAGAGAUAGCCCCUGCUGUAAAAAAUAUUAAAUUUAUUGCUGUAACACUUUCCACACGUACUGUCCAAACUGCCGAAGCAAAGACAGCAACUGCUGUCGAACAUGCCAAAGCCCCUGCUGCAGAUUUUUCUGCACCAACAGAAUUUUCUGCACCAGCAAAUUCACCCACUGUCACACCCGCCACUGCUGAAAUUGCACCGGCAAUUGCUGAACCUGCUGUCCAAAAAUCAGCAAGUGCUGAAUCUGCCACCAUUGCAUCCCUUGUUGCUGUCCAAACACCAGCAACCUCAGAAAUUGACUCAACUGAACUAGAAGUUGUUGCACUUACUGAACCAGCAACAUACACCACUGAAACAGCACAGCCUGCUUCCUCUGCUGUUGUCCAAAAUCCAGAAUUUGCUGCUGUCCAAGUUGCUGAAAACAGAGACAACAACUGCUGUCAAACCGCCACAACCACUGCUGCCCCCAAAUCAACAAUCCUGGCAGAGUCCAGCUCCAAACAGACCAAGGCAGACCAGCAACCAAUGGAAAAAUUUAAGGUACCUCCUCCCUUCCCAAAGAGAUUUGCAAGAUCACAAAAAGAAAAAGAAGAGAAAGAAAUACUUGCAACCUUUCGCAAAGUGGAGAUCAAUAUACAUUUGUUUGAUGCUAUCAAACAAAUACCAAGGGACACCAGCCAGGAGAAUGAGGAGAAGAAAAUUUUGAAAGAAACAAGAACGGAAGAGCCAACAUGCUGCACAGACUGGUCCAGAGGCGAUUUGCUCAAAUCACUUGAACAGGCAGACUGUUGUCUGCCCAAACAGCUAGCAAAGGCAGAACAGGCAAGCCUCUGUUUGCCCAAACAAGUCCAACAGCCAGUUGAGACAGAUGACAGCCUGCCCAAAUCACUUCGGCAAGCAGAAAAUAGGAUACCCAGACCAGUUGGGCAAACAGCUCCUGAACAGCCAGCAAAGAAGCAACAAGUGGGACAAAUGGCUUCAUCCUUUAGUAAGCUUGAAUCACAAGGACAGCUACCUUCCCAAACUGAAAUAAAUCUAAGGCAAAAUGCUAGUGCCAUCACAUUGAGGAGCAGAAAAGAGUUGCAAGACAGUAGGACUGAAAAAUUACAAAAACAGGCCUUGGAAGAAAAUCUGCAAGAAAGUGAUCAGGGCAGUCGAUCUGCCCAAAUCACUGACCCAAUCGCUAGGCAGACUGAGCUGCCCAGCAGUGAUCUGCCCAGAUCACCAACACAAGCAGAUUUUGACUUGCCCAAAUCGCUGGAGCAGACAAACAGGACAGACAGUGAUCUGCCCAGAUCACCUGAAGCAGCACCAGAUGAUCUGCCCAAAUCAACCAGCAGACAGCAGACAGCAAACCAGAAGACAGCAACCACCCCGGAUCUGAAGACUCUGCCCGGACACCACAAAUAUACCUACUUGGAGGCUGGAAAUACACUUCCAGUCAUAGUAUCCAAUCAACUCAGCCAGCAAGAAGAGGAAAAACUCCUAAAGGUGUUGAGGAAACACAAGAAAGCAAUUGGGUGGACCUUGGAGGACAUUAAAGGCACCUCAAGACCAUUCGGUGGAGGCUCAUCUCACUAGAAUCAAGGACAGAAUGCAGCAUAUGGAAAGCAUGCUGCAACUGCUGGUGGACCAUUUUCUGCCCCACCACUAUGACAGACAGUGAUUUGGCGAGUGAUUUGCCCAAAUCACUGGCCAAAUCACCCCCAGGCCAGGAAGUCCCUUUCCCUUUCCUUCUUAAUUUAUAUAUAUAUAUGUUCACACAUUGAGGACAAUGUUUGCAUUAGGUGUGGGAGUACUAUUAGGUGUGGGGGUACUGUUAGGUUAUUUUUGCAUUGAUUACAUUAUCUUUUGCUUUCUUUUUGUUUCUUUUUGCAUCUUUUUACCCUAUAAACACACACCAAAAAUUUGUUCUUUCACACAUUUUUUUUUUGCACACAUUUUUUCACUUUCUGUACACACACACAGAAUUUUGUCUUAACUUUUGCUCUACUCAACAUAGAUAACAAGGUUAAAAGAGUUUCUUAUCUCAUGAACCCAUUGAUUUUCUACCCCUUUAAGCCUAAAUUGAAUCAUUCACAAUAUGUUACCUUCACUUAGGGAGUUUUUUUCUCUUGAAUUGAAUCUUUAAAUCUGCUAAGGUCAAUGGAAAUAAAAAUACAAAUACAUGCAAAUAAAAAGUUAGUGUAACUCCCUAUGAGCUGAUUUGCCCAAACUAUCAUGAAAAAGAAAAGAAAAAGAAAAACCAGCACAAAGCACAAAUCAUAAACCUGUUCCAAUGGUCUAAGACUAUGAACUGAGCUAAUAGUCACUUGGACAAGUGACCAACUAAGUAACCGGGGGUGUAUCACCCAUAUGCACCAUCGCGUAAAAAGGUUGGUGACUUUUUCAAGCAAAAAUAAGUUUCGAUGGUCUAAGAUUAUGAACAGAGCUAGUAGCCACUUGGACAAGUGACCAACUGAGUAACCGGGGGUGUAUCACCCAUAUGCACCAUCGCAUAAAAAGGUUGGUGACUUUUCCAGGCAAGGAUAAAAAGUGCUGCUAAAUAAAAAUGCUUAAAAUGGGGCAAGUUACUCUUAAGGGGUUGCACUAAGCCUAAUAUAAAAGAAUAAGCAUGAUUGAAUCAAAAACCUUUCUCUUGACCAUAGUAGGUGAAAGGAAACAAGGAAAGGAGAGGGCAACCUUGGUGCAUGUACUCUAUACUGUGAUACUUCAGCUUAGGAGUCUAGGGGGGCUGAUUAAGUGGUACUUGGGCUCAAAAGAAAAAGGAGCUUGAUUGACUAAGUUAUUUAUUGCUUGAGGACAAGCAAAAAGUUAGGUGUGGGGGUAUUUGAUCAAGCAUAAUUUAGCCACAUUUUUAUUAUAUUUAUUAUUGUUUAUUUACACAUUUUUUAGCUUAAUUUAUGGUUUUUACCUUGUUUUUACAGAAAAGGAAGAAAUUGGAAAACUGGAGAAAAAGUGCAGAAAAUGACAGAAAAGUGAUUGGGUCAGUAACUUGGCCAAAUCACUGCCCAGAUCAAGCUAAAGCAGAAACCUGAACUAUCUCACAGGAGUCUGAUUGAGCCAAAUCACUGGCCAAGUCACCCGCAGGAACAGAAACCUGGAGGCAACACGCAGAAAUGAUUUGGGCAUGACGAUUUGCCCAAAUCACUGCCCAAAUCAAGUGGAGGAAGCAGAGACAGAAAGCUAAAAACUGGACUGACUCACAGAAAGCGAUUGGGGCAGCGAUCUACCCAAAUCACCGCCCCAAUCACAUUGACAGCAGAAAUUGACAGCAGAGGAGGGAAAGGAGCAGAAAAUCUGAAUUCAAAGAAAAGACGUCCAAAUCAAUUUCAAACACCACAAGAUCAGUCCCAAGAGCCACGCCCUUCACUUAGAGAGUUCCAUUCUCAAUUAAAUACAAAAUCCAAAGAGGAAUCAAAGACUACAAAGAAGACCAAAUCAAAUUGAGAUUUCAAAACCCUAAUCAAAUGGGAAUUGGGAUUCUCCAGCUAUAAAAGGGCAGCAUCCAAACCAGCAAAACAUCAUCUCUCAGCUUCAGAAAUUCUCCAGAAUCACAGCAGCCUUUCUUUUCUCCUAUCUUUUGUGAUUUAGUCCACCAUGAGUGGCUAAAUUCCAUUCUUUUCUAGUUGAAAUUGGUGAAUUUCAGAUUUGUGAUGAAUUGGGAGAUUUAAAUCUCCAUUAUUAAACUCUUAUUUACCUUCAAUAUUUAUACAACUUGAUCUUUCUAUAAUUAUUACUUUGCUUUUAGAAUCAAUUAAGGCCUGUUGCUUUUAAAUUGCUUGAGUAAUAUAUUGUUUGAAUAAUUUAGGUCCGUAAUUGCUUAGAUUAUUUAAACACAAAUAUAAUCGGUUGCAUAAUCUAAACUUGACCACGCAGUUGGCAAGGUUAGAGUUGGGUUCCUCUAAGUCCUAAUGCAGUUAACAGUUGUUCGAUGCUAAAAGCCCCAAGGACGUUCCUUGGCAACUUGUUAACUAGAGUUUG
rnacentral:lncRNA from 1 species